CUUCAGUGAUGACACAGAGAUAAGGGCUGAUGGUGGCUCCAACAAUGGAGGCUUUUAUUAAGGAUCUUCUGGGUAGUUUUGAAUUUGGCGGUCCCUGUGGACAAAGCAGGAUGAUUUAUGUUUUCUUCUACGCCGUCCGCUUGAUUGCAAUCACAUCCCGGCAGCCUUGUCGUGAUUGGG